GACGAACGCUGGCGGCGUGCUUAACACAUGCAAGUCGAACGCUGAAGCUCAGCUUUUGUUGGGUGGAUGAGUGGCGAACGGGUGAGUAACACGUGAGUAACCUGCCUCCUUCUUUGGGAUAACGCCCGGAAACGGGUGCUAAUACUGGAUAUUCACUGGUCUUCGCAUGGGGGUUGGUGGAAAGGGUUUUUCUGGUGGGGGAUGGGCUCGCGGCCUAUCAGCUUGUUGGUGGGGUGAUGGCCUACCAAGGCUUUGACGGGUAGCCGGCCUGAGAGGGUGACCGGUCACAUUGGGACUGAGAUACGGCCCAGACUCAUACGGGAGGCAGCAGUGGGGAAUAUUGAACAAUGGGCGCAAGCCUGAUGCAGCGACGCCGCGUGAGGGAUGGAGGCCUUCGGGUUGUGAACCUCUUUCGCUCAUGGUCAAGCCGCAACAAUGGUUGUGGUGAGGGUAGUGGGUAAAGAAGCGCCGGCUAACUACGUG
rnacentral:rRNA from 1 species